rnacentral:rRNA from 1 species
GACGAACGCUGGCGGCGCGCUUAACACAUGCAAGUCGAGCGAGAACCAGGGCUUCGGCUCUGGGGACAGCGGCGAACGGGUGAGUAACACGUGGGUAACCUGCCCUCGGCACCGGAAUAGCCCGGGGAAACCCGGAUUAAUGCUGGAUAGCCUCACGGAUCUUCGGAUUUGUGAGAAAAGGUGGCUUCGGCUUCCGGCUGAGGAUGGGCCCGCGGCCGAUUAGCUUGUUGGUGAGGUAACGGCNCACCAAGGCGACGAUCGGUAGCUGGUCUGAGAGGACGAUCAGCCACACUGGGACUGAGACACGGCCCAGACUCCUACGGGAGGCAGCAGUGGGGAAUCUUGCGCAAAUGGGCGAAAGCCUGACGCAGCGACGCCGCGUGCGGGAAGAAGGCCUGGUGUAA